rnacentral:rRNA from 1 species
UUUAGAUGUAAAUUUUUUAUCAAAAGAAUAAUAGUUAUGUUCUUUAAAUUUAAAAAAUUUGGCGGUAUUUUAGUCUUUUCAGAGGAACCUGUUCUGUAAUCGAUAGUCCACGAUAAAAUGUACUUAAUUCAAUAGUUUGUAUAUCGUUGUUAUUAAAUAUUUUAUAAGAAUUAUAAUGUUUAGGAGUUUUAAUAAAAAAGAAUUUCAGAUCAAGGUGCAGUAUAUAAUUAAGAAGAAAUGGGUUACAAUAAGUUUAUUUAUAUGGAAUUAUGUUUAAAAAAAUUUAAUGAAGGUGGAUUUGAAAGUAAUAAAAUUUAGAUUAAUUUUAUGAUUUU